rnacentral:tRNA from 1 species
GCGCCUGUAGCUCAACUGGAAAGAGCAUCAGUUUCCUAAACUGGGGGUUGGGUGUUCGAGUCACCCCAGGCGCA